rnacentral:lncRNA from 1 species
CCCUGAUGAGAUCAUCCGAAUCAUGCUCAACUCAAUUAGUCCUGUGACUCCUCACUAGGACUACCCUGGCCAAGGUUUUGCUAAAUUGAAACAUGACUGUACACAGCUCCUAAAUUGGAGUGGUCAAUCUCAUCUUGACACACGCACCGACAAGUCAAGUACUUGACUACACCCAGCAGCCUUCCGUCACUGAAUUAGAAAUUCAGGUAGUCCAGUGCCUAAGUGCAGUGAGUUGCUUGCAAAUCACCGUGGCGGUCUCAGGUCGGAGGGACAUUUAUACCUAUAUCCCAUC